rnacentral:misc_RNA from 1 species
AACUUUCGGCAACGGAUCUCUUGGUUCUGGCAUCGAUGAAGAACGCAGCGAAAUGCGAUAAGUAAUGUGAAUUGCAGAAUUCAGAGAAUCAUCGAAUCUUUGAACGCACAUUGCGCCCUCUGGUAUUCCGGGGGGCAUGCCUGUUCGAGCGUCAUUACAACCCUCAAGCUCUGCUUGGUAUUAGGCCUCACCCGUCAGGGUGGGCUGUAAAAUCAGUGGCGGUGCCAUCCGGCUUCAAGCGUAGUAAUUUUUCUCGCUUUGGAGUCCCGGCUGUGUGCCUGCCAGCAACCCCAAUUUUUAUCAAAGGUUGACCUCGGAUCAGGUAGGGAUACCCGCUGAACUUAAGCAUAUCAAUAAGCGGAGGCU